AAGGUGGACAAGGAAGAUGUCGUCUCCCACAUCCUCGCUGGACUCGAUGAGGAGUUUGAUCCCGUGGUUUCUGCCAUGUGCUCACGGGUCAAGCCUGUCGGGGUGCCGGAGCUGUAGUCGCAGCUCCUAAGCCUCGAGA
rfam:Triticum aestivum genome assembly, contig: Triticum_aestivum_CS42_TGACv1_scaffold_362000_4DS